rnacentral:tRNA from 1 species
GGGGACUUAGCUCAGUGGUAGAGCGCUUGCCGCCUAGGAAGCGCAAGGCCCUGGGUUCAGUCCCCA